rnacentral:rRNA from 1 species
CAGUCGCCGCGGUAAUACGUAGGUGGCAAGCGUUGUCCGGAAUUAUUGGGCGUAAAGGGCUCGCGGACGGUUUCUUAAGUCUGAUGUGAAAGCCCCCGGCUCAACCGGGGAGGGUCAUUGGAAACUGGGAAACUUGAGUGCAGAAGAGGAGAGUGGAAUUCCACGUGUAGCGGUGAAAUGCGUAGAGAUGUGGAGGAACACCAGUGGCGAAGGCGACUCUCUGGUCUGUAACUGACGCUGAGGCUCGAAAGCGUGGGGAGCAAACAGGAUUAGAUACCCCCGUAGUCCCUGUCUCUUAUAC